GUUCUGUUGGUCCAGUGGCUAAGAUUCUGCGCUUCCAAUGCAGGGGACCCAGGUUCAAUCCCUGGUCAGGGAA
rnacentral:tRNA from 1 species